GAACAGGUGAGAUUUGAAGAGUGUGAGGAACAAAUAAGAUGUGAGGAGUGUUAGGAACAGGUGAGAUUUGUUGAGUGUGAGGAACAGGCGAGAUUUGUAGAGUGUGAGGAACAAGUAAGAUGUGACGAGUGUGAGAAACAGGUGAGAUUUGUAGAGUGUGAGGAACUUGUGAGAUUUGUAGAGUGUGGGGAACAUGUGAGAUAUGUAGAGUGUGAGAAGCAGGUGAGAUGUGUAGUAUAUGAGGAGCAGGUGAGAUGUGUAGAGUGUGAGGAACAUGUGAGAUGUGUAGAUUGUGAGGAGCAGGUGAGAUGUGUAGUAUAUGAGGAACAGGUGAGAUGUGUAGAGUGUGAGGAACAUGUGAGAUAUGUAGAUUGUGAGGAACAUGUAAGAUGUGUAGUGUGAGGAAUGGGUAAGAUGUGUAGAGUGUGAGGAGCAGGUGAGAUGUGUAGAGUGUGAGGAACAGGUGAGAUGUGUAGAGUGUGAGGAACAGGUGAGAUGGGUAGAGUGUGAAGACCAGGUGAGAUGUGUAGAGUGUGAGGAACAGGUGAGAUGUGUAGAGUGUGAGGAACAGGUGAGAUGUGUAGGGUGUGAGGAACAGGUGAGAUGUGUAGAGUGUGUGGAACAGGUGAGAUGUGUAGUGUGAGGAACAUGUGAGAUGUGUUGAGUGUGAGGAACAGGUGAGAUGUGUAGAGUGUGUGAAACAUGUGAGAUGUGUCCAGUGUGUGGAACAGGUGAGAUGUGUAGAGUGUG